rnacentral:rRNA from 1 species
UAGCGGCAGGCUUAACACAUGCAAGUCGAGGGGGCAGCAUAAUGAAGUAGCAAUACUGAAUUGAUGGCGACCGGCGCACGGGUGCGUAACGCGUAUGUAACCUACCUCUAACAGGGGGAUAACACUGAGAAAUUGGUACUAAUACCCCAUAACACUUGAUAGGGCAUCCUAUUGAGUUGAAAGUUCCGGCGGUUAGAGAUGGACAUGCGUUGUAUUAGCUAGAUGGUGAGGUAACGGCUCACCAUGGCGACGAUACAUAGGGGGACUGAGAGGUUAACCCCCCACACUGGUACUGGGACACGGACCAGACUCCUACGGGAGGCAGCAGUGAGGAAUAUUGGUCAAUGGACGAGAGUCUGAACCAGCCAAGUAGCGUGCAGGAUGACGGCCCUCUGGGUUGUAAACUGCUUUUAGUUGGGAAUAAAAAGAGGGACGUGUCCCUAAUUGUAUGUACCAUCAGAAAAAGGACCGGCUAAUUCCGUG